UCGCCCGCCGUCGUCUCUCGUUCUUAUAGGGAGAAGGUGAUGGCGGAGGAAAUGGAAGAGGCAAAGAGGAGAGGAGGAAAAAGAAAAAGAGACGGAAGAUGCGGAAGAGAAGAGAUUACAAGGGAAGAGCGGAGGAAGACGAGCCUUAUGGAGAUUAGAACUUAUUGGACCACAUUAGAAGAAGAAUAUGCAGCAAGUGUAUGUGAUGGAGGAAAGGGGGAAGUGGGGAGAGGGGAAGAGGAGGGGUUUGGAUGAAACACACCGCCCACAGAUUGCCUACCAUCCCCUUGGGUUUGACCUCCCAGGCACAGAAAAAGGGCUUGCCCUCUACUAAGCAUCUUCACUGUCUUUUCCUUGAAAGCAACCUCUUGGUUGAACAGGCCAUCUGCUACCCUCUCAUGAAUCUCUCUCCUGUUUAGAGUAAGAGGUCCACCAUCCAUUCUUUUCUUUUGAUCUUAUUCUCUUACACCCAUCUGCCUCUGUCCCUUGAUGGAAAAGGGGAUCUGGGUCUUUGCCACUCUCAUUAUUUGCUUGUUACUUUCUGAAACUAAUGGCCAGGAGCUGGGGCAGAGUCUCAUAAUAGAGAGGGUUGAAGGUGAUAUUGGAUUUCCCAUACUUCUUUCAUGUCUUUUCUGUUGACUGCAUCUAUAAACUUAUCUGAGCUGUAGUAAUGGUGUCUUAUAGUUGUUGGGGCUUGGCUAUGACUUUUUUUAGUACUAGUAAUUUUAGUUGAAGGAUCUUUUGUUUGUUACAUGAGGGUCUGCACCUUAUAUCACCGGGCUUGGAAUCUGUUCCUACAAUAUUUGCCAGUUUCAAGAUUUUUUUUUCUUAGUUUGUAAAUUGUAACAAUACGGAAUUGUGCCAGUUUCAUGAUGUUUUGUUUCUUAUUCUUAUCAGAUUGUAUUGUUGGUUAUGUGGAUGUUACUUCCGGCAUCAGAUUUAGUAAGCCUCUGCAAUUUUUCUAAUUCUGCUCAGUUAUCAUUGGUUUAAACAUUUGAAGUUCAUUGGAACAGAUUUAAUUUACUGGUGAACUAUGUUUUUGUGUGGGAUGUAAUCUUAUGAUUGGAAAUAUUACUGCAUUAUAUAUACUUCAGAAGUUCAGAUACAACAUUUCUCUUUGAAGAGAUACUUUAGAUACAACUAAGGCAAGCAAACUGAUAAGCAGGUGCUAAAUACCGCAAAAUGGGAAAAGAAAGUGGUGUAAUUGCAGUGGAAGAAAAGGGUGCCCAGAUGCUGUAACUGCUGAAAAUACUAUGCAUCGACCGAUGGGAAGGUUUAACUUGUUGAUUAUGUUUCUUAGUUCAUGUGAUCAAGGAACUAAUUCCACGGGUGGAGGGCAAGGUUCAUGUGAUUUUGGCUGACAUUUAACCUCCAAGGUUUCUCUAUAGUGGAAGUCAUAGCCAAAGAAUUGUAGCUUUACUACCAACAAGUCAUAAUGGGAAGCAAUCACCAUCCCAUCGAACACCAUCGAGAGUACAUCAGCUGCAGUGUUUAUGUUGCACAAGUAAAGAUCAUUGCAUUUGCCUGAUGAGUCAAAUGAUUGCAAAGCUAUGAGAAGGUACAUGGCCUUUGUCUCCUAUUGGAUUUCUUAUGCAUACCUUCUGGUCUACUGAUGGCGCAAUAGGUUAUGAAGGAAUGGUUUUAGUCAUUACACAUGAUUCUAUUCAGAGGAAAAAAAUUGCAGUUGCAAUGAUGAAGCUUUAAAUGAAGGAUUCUAAGUUCUAGAAGUGUUGCUAUGAAAUAAUAAAUUUGAAAUAGUGUGAAGAACCUCUGUUUCUUGCAGUUUCACUCUAGCAAUCUGGCUUGAUGUUCUUAGUUUUUGUACUUCCAUAUUCAUCCAAGUAUGAGUUGAGUAAAAUAUAUUGGUAGUAGACUUUGGGAA